UACGUAGGGGGCGAGCGUUAUCCGGAUUCAUUGGGCGUAAAGCGCGCGUAGGCGGCCGCCUAAGCGGGACCUCUAACCCCGGGGCUCAACCCCGGGCCGGGUCCCGGACUGGGCGGCUCGAGUGCGGUAGAGGAGAGCGGAAUUCCCGGUGUAGCGGUGGAAUGCGCAGAUAUCGGGAAGAACACCGAUGGCGAAGGCAGCUCUCUGGGCCGUCACUGACGCUGAGGCGCGAAAGCGGGGGGAGCGAACAGG
rnacentral:rRNA from 1 species